rnacentral:lncRNA from 1 species
CAGCUGUUUGUCUGUUUACACUUUCCUUUAAUAAACCUAAAUAAUGUCGCAAGUAGAAAAUUACAAAAAGUGUUAUGUCAAAGGUGAUAAAUCAUUGCUGUGAUAGAUCAUUGCUGUUUAAAAUGAUGUAGUAUUUUCUGUAUGUUACAAAUCUGGUUUUGUUUUUAGAAAAAGAGAAGCAUCUCCUAUUCCCAGCUGUGAGUCUCUGAAGAGUAACUGGUCCAAGCUGGAUCCUCCAAACUUUAGCAUUGAGCCUGUGCCUUCAGAAACACUAAAAAAAGCAGCAUCUCCUGUUCCCAGCUGUGUGUCUCUGAAGAGUAACUGGUCCAAGCUGGAUCCUCCAGACUUUAGCAAUGAGCCUGGACCUCCAGAAACACAAGAGAGAAGACUGCUUGAAGAUGAUGAUUCAGAAGUGGUUCAUGAACUCUGUCCUUUAUGUAAGAACAAAGGGAGUGAUCCUGUCUGGACCAACUGUGGUCAUUGGUUCAAUAGACCUUAUGUCAUAAUAGUGCCAGUGUUCACUAGUGUUCACACUAGUGAUGGGUCGGUC